rnacentral:rRNA from 1 species
UACGAAGGGGGCUAGCGUUGCUCGGAAUCACUGGGCGUAAAGCGCACGUAGGCGGAUUCUUAAGUCAGGGGUGAAAUCCUGGAGCUCAACUCCAGAACUGCCUUUGAUACUGGGAGUCUUCGAGUCCGGGAGAGGUGAGUGGAACUGCGAGUGUAGAGGUGAAAUUCGUAGAUAUUGGGAAAAACACCGGUGGCGAAGGCGGCGACCUGGUCCGAUACUGACGCUGAGGCGCGAAAGCGUGGGGAGCAAACAGG